CGGCGGCCAUAGCGUGAGGGAAACGCCCGGUCACAUUCCGAACCCGGAAGCUAAGCCUCACAGCGCCGAUGGUACUGCAGGGGGGACCCUGUGGGAGAGUAGGACACCGC
rnacentral:rRNA from 5 species